rnacentral:lncRNA from 1 species
GGCUCAUUGUAUCAUGUUUAAUAUCAAGAGUUAUAUUCUUCUCCCGUGCUUUCUCACAAAAAAGUUAAGACAAACUUUUAGAUCAAUGAAAUUACUCCCAAUCCAUCCGAACUAGACAGCUUGGGAAGGUUAUACUCAUAUGGGCUAAGUUUGACACCCCUAGUUAGCAGCUGAUUCCCUCUACAUGCAACAGCAAACAGAUUGAUCCUCUUAGAAAUGACUCAGGAUUUCUGAAAACAUGCUCAUGUUGUAAUAUCAGAUAAGGAUGCUCUAGAGGACGGGGGCGGACCCAGAUGAACCCGCUUCGCCGGAAAAUAAUACGGUAUAUAUAGGUAUAUUUUAUCUUACUUCCAGUAAAUGCUGUUAUAUAUUUUUUGUUGACCCCGCUUUUCACAAUCACACGGUCCAGCCCACUGGCAAAGUGGGUUCAAAAUCCUAGAAUACCUAGGUUCGAAUCCAGUCUGCUGCGUAUGUUUUUGGGCACUCUUUUGUUACCCUAUAUACGACACUCUUUUUCCCCAUAUACGUACAAUAUAGGAAAAGUUCUACCUCUCCUACACUCUCUUUUUCCCCAUAUACGUACAACAACAACAACUACCCAGUAUAAUCCCACCAGGUGGGGGCUGGGGAGGGUAAUACGUACCAAGCCUUACCCCUACCCGAAAGGGCAGAGAGGCUGUUUCCGAUCGACCAUCGGCUCAGGAAAAGAAAAAUAAAAACAAAAGCCAAAAAUAAAAACAAAAAAGCAAAAACAGGAGAGUAUUAGUAACUCUAUGAAAAAUCACAUAGACAAUUAUCAAACCAUAAACCAUAAGUAAAAUGGCAUGCAGUAAUCUCAAAACAUAAACCAAUGCACAAAUCAUAUAUAGAGUGCCCUCCAAGAAACAUCACAUAGACAAUUAUCAAAACAUAAACCAUAAACCAUAAGUAAAAUGGCAUGCAGUAAUCUCAAAACAUGAACCAAUGCACAAAUCAUCUAUAAAGGGCCCUAACAAACCCCCAGACCGGGCAAGAAGUGCGAAAGAAACAAAGGGCCCCAAUCCGACAACCCUGAUACUAGACCUCCAGACUCUCCUAUCAAGGGCCAUGUCCGCAGAAAUCUGCAAUCUA